GCAAGUCGAACGAUGAAACUUAAAAGAUUUCUUCGGAAUGAACUUAAGUGGAUUAGUGGCGAACGGGUGAGUAACGCGUGAGUAACCUGCCUUACACAAGGGGAUAGCCUCUGGAAACGGAGAAUAAUACCCUAUGAUACUAAUACUUCGCAUGAAGCAUUAAUCAAAGUGUUAGCGGUGUAAGAUGGACUUGCGUCUGAUUAGCUAGUUGGUGAGAUAACAGCCCACCAAGGCAACGAUCAGUAGCCGGCUUGAGAGAGUGUACGGCCACAUUGGGACUGAGACACGGCCCAGACUCCUACGGGAGGCAGCAGUGGGGAAUUUUGCACAAUGGGGGCAACCCUGAUGCAGCGACGCCGCGUGAUUUAGAAGGCCUUCGGGUUGUAAAAAUCUUUUGUAUAGGAAGAAAAUGACAGUACUAUACGAAUAAGGUCCGGCUAAUUACGUGCCAGCAGCCGCGGUAAUACGUAAGGACCGAGCGUUGUCCGGAAUCAUUGGGCGUAAAGGGUACGUAGGCGGUUAGAAAAGUUAGAGGUGAAAGGCUAUAGCUCAACUAUAGUAAGCUUUUAAAACUGUUUAACUUGAGAGAUGGAAGGGAAAGUGGAAUUCCUAGUGUAGCGGUGAAAUGCGCAGAUAUUAGGAGGAAUACCGGUGGCGAGGGCGACUUUCUGGCCAUUAUCUGA
rnacentral:rRNA from 2 species